UAAUACGAAGGGGGCUAGCGUUGUUCGGAAUUACUGGGCGUAAAGCGCGCGUAGGCGGUUUUGCAAGCCAGAGGUGAAAUGCCUGAGCUCAACUCGGGAAUGGCCUUUGGGACUGCGAGGCUUUGAGGACUGGAGAGGUGAGUGGAAUUCCCAGUGUAGAGGUGAAAUUCGUAGAUAUUGGGAAGAACACCGGUGGCGAAGGCGGCUCACUGGCCAGUUUCUGACGCUGCAGCGCGAAAGCGUGGGGAUCAAACAGGAUUAGAUACCCUGGUAGUCCACGCUGUAAACGAUGAGUGCUAGGCGUCGGCAUGCAUGCAUGUCGGUGCCGCAGCUAACGCGUGAAGCACUCCGCCUGGGGAGUACGGUCGCAAGAUU
rnacentral:rRNA from 1 species